rnacentral:lncRNA from 1 species
ACAUCUGUACGUUGCAAUCUGUGGAUCAGCUACGAGAUGGAUAUCUGAGAGCCAGCGAACUUUCUUUACCUCCUAGUAUCAUUUCAUGAAAAUUAGUAGCACCUGCACAAUGGGGCCUUGGAGACAGGAAUAAAAGGAAAAAUCUGGAAUGGAAUCACAUGACGCAACAGGCUAUGAAGACUCCCUGCCCGGCUGCUAUAUGUCUGGCUUGCUGGACUUUGGAGAAAAGGCUGACCCUCCCCCAAAGCAGCCCAUUGCUGCCACUGCCCUAGGAACAGAGGGCCUGGAGCCAGGGCUUGACCUGGUACAGGAGCUUUUGCACAAGGCCGGCUCAAACCUCCAAACCUGGGGAAACAGGAUGCAUGGUGAAGUGAAGAAGAAAGAAAAUGCAUCCACCGUUCCUUCCUGUUGGUGUCAGCACGAUGAGGAAUAAUUACCUGGAUCUGGAAAGCAGCACAGCACUGCCUCCUGGUGCGGAUUAUAUUCCAGUUUUCAAAAGGAACCAUAGAAGAUACAAGCAAUACGAUUUUAUUUUGGAGGGAUUUCUAGCAUCAUAGGUCAAAGACGUUAUUAAGUAUCGACUCUGAAAAAGCAACUAUAAAUACUGCAAAUCGACUAAGCCAGAGGACGCAAAUAUAUCCUGCGUGUUGUGUGCUGGACUGUGGUUGAGACUUCAUGGUCGUGCUCUGGGCUCAUGGGGGCAGCUGACUGCUCAUAAUUAAGAUUGCUGUUGCCGCUGCCUGUGUUCCAAAGAGAACACAAGAGGACAGAGCUAAGGUGUAGGAAUGCGGAAGAACUUGCAGAAACUAGAGCUAGUCUUCGGAUUGAAAUGAAUUACCAAUAAAGGGUUGGGAAAUGGAUCAAGGAGAGGGAAGCGUUUUGAUGGUCCCU